rnacentral:lncRNA from 1 species
UUCAGGUGUGUCUCUCAAUGAGGUUCGCCGUCCUUUAUAUAGUGGUGAAAGGACCGUUGUAAUGAUGGCAGAAUAUUGACUUUGAUGAGAGUUUAAUGCCAUUACUUCUGUGUUUCUUGCCAUAACAGAUUUGUCUCCUUGAGUAACUUCCUUCCAAAUUUACUUUCUUUCCAUUUGAAGUUGUAGUUUCCGUUACUCUUUCU